CGUGUAGGCGGAUAGGUCAGUCUAGGGUGAAAUCCUACAGCUUAACUGUAGAAUUGCCUUUGAUACUUCCUGUCUUGAGUUCGGGAGAGGGAAGCGGAAUUCCUGGUGUAGCGGUGAAAUGCGUAGAUAUCAGGAAGAACACCGGUAGCGAAGGCAGCUUCCUGGCCCGAUACUGACGCUAAAGCGCGAAAGCGUGGGGAGCAAACA
rnacentral:rRNA from 1 species